rnacentral:rRNA from 1 species
AAUGUGUUUUCAUCAAUCAAGAACGAAAGUUAGAGGUUCGAAGGCGAUCAGAUACCGCCCUAGUUCUAACCAUAAACGAUGCCAGCUAGCGAUCCGCCGAAGUUCCUCCGAUGACUCGGCGGGCAGCUUCCGGGAAACCAAAGCUUUUGGGUUCCGGGGGAAGUAUGGUUGCAAAGCUGAAACUUAAAGGAAUUGACGGAAGGGCACCACCAGGAGUGGAGCCUGCGGCUUAAUUUGACUCAACACGGGAAAACCUACCAGGCCCAGACACCGUAAGGAUUGACAGAUUGAGAGCUCUUUCUUGAUUCGGUGGGUGGUGGUGCAUGGCCGUUCUUAGUCGGUGAAGUGAUUUGUCAGGUUAACUCCGAUAACGGACGAGACUCUAUCCUGCUAAAUAGGCGUACUUUCCGGUAUCUCGAAGGCCCGCCGGUCGGCUUCGGUCCGUGUGUGGUUUUUACUACCGGCGUACACAUAUAUCUUCUUAGAGGGACAGGUGGCUUUCAGUCGCACGAAAUUGAGCAAUAACAGGUCAGGAAUGCCCUUAGAUGUUCUGGGCCGCACGCGCGCUACACUGAAGGGAUCAGCAGGUUUUCCUUGGCCGAAAGGUCCGGGUAAUCCGUUGAAGCCCCUUCGUGCUAGGGAUUGGGGCUUGCAAUUCUUCCCCAUGAACGAGGAAUUCCCAGUAAGCGCGAGUCAUUAGCUUGCGUUGAUUACGUCCCUGCCCUUUGUACACACCGCCCGUCGCUACUACCGAUUGAAUGAUUUAAUGAGGUCUUCGGACCGGUGCGCGGCAUUGCCGAUGUUGCUGGGAAGAUGACCAAAUUUGAUUAUUGGAAG